ACGGAAGGCAGCAGUAGGGAAUCUUCCACAAUGGACGAAAGUCUGAUGGAGCAACGCCGCGUGAGUGAUGAAGGUUUUCGGAUCGUAAAACUCUGUUGUAAGGGAAGAACAAGUGGGUUAGGUAAUGAACCCGCCUUGACGGUACCUUAUUAGAAAGCCACGGCUAACUACGUGCCAGCAGCCGCGGUAAUACGUAGGCGGCAAGCGUUGUCCGGAUUUAUUGGGCGUAAAGCGCGCGCAGGUGGUUUCUUAAGUCUGAUGUGAAAGCCCCCGGCUCAACCGGGGAGGGUCAUUGGAAACUGGGGGACUUGAGUGCAGAAGAGGAUAGUGGAAUUCCAAGUGUAGCGGUGAAAUGCGUAGAGAUUUGGAGGAACACUAGUGGCGAAGGCGACUGUCUGGUCUGUAACUGACACUGAGGCGCGAAAGCGUGGGGAGCAAACAGGAUUAGAUACCCUGGUA
rnacentral:rRNA from 1 species